rnacentral:rRNA from 1 species
AUUGAACGCUGGCGGCAGGCCUAACACAUGCAAGUCGAACGAGUGGCGGACGGGUGAGUAAUGUCUGGGAAACUGCCUGAUGGAGGGGGAUAACUACUGGAAACGGUAGCUAAUACCGCAUACCAUCAGAUGUGCCCAGCAGGGAUUAGCUAGUGGGUGGGUUAACGGCUCACCAAGGCGACGAGCCCUAGCUGGUCUGAGAGGUUGACCAGCCAAACUGGAACGGAGACACGGUCCAGACUCCUACGGGAGGAGGCAGGGGGGAAUAUUGCACAAGGGGGGCAGGCCUGAGACAGCCAUGCCGCGUGUAUGAAGAAGGCCUUCGGGUUGUAAAGUACUUUCAGCGGGGAGGCGUUACCCGCAGAAGAAGCACCGGCUAACUCCGUGCCAGCCGCCGCGGUAAUUC